AGGCAGCAGUGGGGAAUAUUGGGCAAUGGGGGGAACCCUGAUCCAGCCAUGCCGGGUGUGUGAAGAAGGCUUUUUGGUUGUAAAGCACUUUAAGCGAGGAGGAGGGUACUUAGAUUAAUACUCUGAGAUAGUGGACGUUACUCGCAGAAUAAGCACCGGCUAACUCUGUGCCAGCAGCCGCGGUAAUACAGAGGGUGCAAGCGUUAAUCGGAUUUACUGGGCGUAAAGCGUGCGUAGGUGGCCAAUUAAGUCAAAUGUGAAAUCCCCGAGCUUAACUUGGGAAUUGCAUUCGAUACUGGUUGGCUAGAGUAUGGGAGAGGAUGGUAGAAUUCCAGGUGUAGCGGUGAAAUGCGUAGAGAUCGGGAGGAAUACCGAUGGCGAAGGCAGCCAUCUGGCCUAAUACUGACACUGAGGUACGAAAGCAUGGGGAGCAAACAGGAUUAGAUACCCUGGUAGUCCAUGCCGUAAACGAUGUCUACUAGCCGUUGGGGUCUUUGAGAUUUUAGUGGCGCAGCUAACGCGAUAAGUAGACCGCCUG
rnacentral:rRNA from 1 species